UGGCAGUUUCCGACUUUACUCAGUUCCACAGCUCAGAGUCACUCCGUUAUAAACAGCCCCGGAUUUAACUCUCCCUCUGGCUGUACUAUGUUUAAGAGGAUGGCUGAAUUCGGUCCGGAUUCUGGAGGCCGCGUCAAGGGCGUGACCAUUGUGAAGCCCAUCGUGUUCGGUAAUGUCGCUCGUUAUUUCGGGAAGAAGCGUGAAGAGGACGGACACACACACCAGUAGACUGCAUGUUAAACUCUACUGAGAAAUUUACUGACAUGACUGAGGUCAUGUGAUCUAUUCUUGAUAAAAAACAAAACAAAAAGAUGCACACACACUAUGAACCAACCCUGUGUGUGUGUGUGUGUGUUCCCUCAGGACCUUACUGUAUGUAAAGAACAUCCAGUUCGAACUACACGAGAGUUACAGGAACUCCUUACGAGGUGUUUAUUAAUCACUCAGGCUGGAGCAGAGGAAAUCCUAGCACACAAAUGUUAAAAAAGAUAAUUAGAUUUUUGAAUUUGAAUUUAAAAAUUAGCUCGACUUUGUUCACACACACGGAGAUUAAACUGAUUUACUAAUUUAAAUUAUAAAAGUACUAAUAAACAAUACAAUUAAAAUUUGGAAUUUUCAACUUAAACAAUAACAAAACAAUAUUCCUAUAUAAAAAGUAUGGACAAAUUAACAAAUUAUGGUAAACACACAAACUAAACCUUACUUACAGAUUACAAUUAUAAACACUCUAAUUCCUAAACAUAUACAAACACAACAAUAAACAAAUAUUCUCAUAAACAUUAUUGUCUAGGCAAAUUUUUAAUUAGACUUUUUUUUUUAAUGAAUUGUCAAGCACAAAUUACAGUGAAACCUUGGAUUGCACACAGUUUGAGAGUUUUUCACAAGACGAGCAAAGAUUUUUAAUAAAUUUCAACUUAAAGAACGAACAAGUCUCGGUUUACGAGUACCGAGUAUCAUGUAUCACGCAUGCGGUUUUUCUCUCUCUUGCGCUGUGGGUAAUCGUCUCCUCCGCUGGGUCUUAGUGAUCAUCUCUUACUGGUAUAAUCAACAUCCGUAUACUGUUUGCAUAUACUGUUUACUAUAGCACUGUGACCACGUGUGUGCGUAAAAAACAUCUGUUAUGUCUGUAUGUGUGUGUACACUGCGUAUAAAGCAAAAGCAAGUCUCAGUAGAGAGGUUAAAUAUUAAUUUUGUCUCUCUGUAUCAGCCUGCUUUUUGUGUCUGUGUCUGUGCGCGUCAUUGGACACCGUGCCCCAUAUACACACACACACACACACUCACUCUUCCUGUCCAUGAUGGGUUUGUAAGUCUCAGCAGGUGAAGGUGUCUCCUCAUACACUGGAGAUCAGUGUAACUCUCAGCCAUGUUCAGACUCAGGAAUAAGGAGCGCUGCAAACUCUGGUGUUAGAGUUAUUAAUAAAUAGUUAUUAUAAUGUCUUAUAAUGUCAAUGUACACAGUGUAACAGGAGUGUAAGUUCCCACUUCACUCUCGUCCUUCCUCAGACAGACGUUUCUGAGGUAUAAAUACACUUCCAUAUAGACCUGUACAGUAAGCAUUGUCUACCAUGAAUGGAGGUUUCUAUCAGUUAUUCAACUGAAAUGUACACACUGUCAGAGUCACGGUGUAGGAUAUAAAUAAUUUUAUUAGAUUUUCAUUACAUUUCAGGAUGUAUACAAAUACCAGCUUCUCCCUGUAAACACUCUUCAGCCUGUAUAAGAAUAAUGUGAUGAAUGAGGUCUCGGGUCAGUAUUGAUCUGUCGUUAUACACUGCAGUACUACACUAAUUAUUCUGAAUAAUUAAUAAUAUUAAUGAAAGAAGUGUGUAAGAGACUGAACCAGAACCCUCAGGGCUUUAUUCCUGCACAGGGUGGAACACGCCCUUCAGAGUCUGUUUAACACAGAACCUUUCCCUAAACUAAUGCAGAGAGAGUCUGAGCACUGCCACACCCCUCUCUCAUCUCGGGAGUUCAUCAUAAAGAUGAACUUCACACUACAGAAUUUUAAGGGUUUUGUCUCAUUCUCUUACGCACUUCCCUAAUUGAUCUCAUUGAUUAUUUAGAAUAAUUAGUGCAACUGUGGGUUAGUGUGUUUAAGUUGUGAAGUGUACAGAUAGAAGCCCUUAUCCAGCUCCCUAACAAAAACGCAUUAAUCUUUAAUGAUAACCAAACUGUUUUUUAGGAGUUUAAUUCUUAACAAAACAUUGUAGCAACACAAUCCUUAAAAAAAAAUGUUACUUUUAAAAAAUCCAUGAUGUAAUGAAAAAUAAGCUGUUUAUUUAAAUGGAAAUCCCGUUAUUUGUCUCUGUCUGUCAAAACGAAGCUGCAACAAUUCUAUGUCCAACAUUGCGCACUGCCUGUACUGCAAUUUUGUCCUUUUGUGGGGGACAAGUGUAAAAGAUGUGUGAGCUACAGAGAAAUACGUGUUUCUGUGUUGCCUGCUCUCUUGGGUGUGUUUCCCUCUCUCUGUUUGUAAAGCAGGUUUAAUUGGCCUCUACCAUGGAGACGGGUGCUGAUUGGAGGAUCAGUCAGUGGUGUGUGCCUUACUCAAGCCUCCUGUACCUCCAUUGGACAAGCACUUCCUGAACCUGUGUGCCGUACUCCCACCUCCUGUAUCUCUAUUGGACAAGAACUUCCUAAACCUGUGUGCCGUACUCCCGCCUCCUGUGUUGCCAUUGGACUAGCACUUUGUGCAGCACUAUUUAAACGCCAUCCUGCCUGCUGCUCGAGAGACAACUGCUUGACUUGUUAUGGUGUUUUGCUUGUUUAUAUUGGACUUAUUAAGGAGUAAGCCAUCUUCAGAAUCUCUUGUUCGUGGCCCUCUGUCUCCUGUUCGUGCAUCAUCCCCUGUUCUGCAUCCUGCACCUACAACCCCUGUACAGGCCAGUGACCCUCCACCCGCACCUAGCGGCUCUUCAGCUCUGAACCCUGCAGUAUCACCUGAGGUCCUGGAGAAUUUGUUCUAAAUCCACAAAAGGCGCUGUUUUAUUUAUCCUGAG